rnacentral:lncRNA from 1 species
CGGCCCUCGACGGCAACAGAACGAUGCUCUACUACUCCAACAAGGACAGGGGUCAUAUUUUAUUCAAUGUAUUUAUUAACGAAGUACCUUUUUAAAAAGAAAUGUACAAGUGAAUCCAGCGCUCUGCAAUCUCUGUGUAGUCUGUAGUUUAUAAACCUCAGAGACUGGCUGGCUGUCAGCGGGUUGAGGACUGAAAACAUAGGAAAUAUGGCAAUGUACAUAUUUACAUAGUGAAGAGCAGGCUUGUCUAGACCGACACAGCGUAAUGUUGGUUGAAAAUAAUAAACUAAAUAACAAGAGCAGCUAGAGGCUAAUGCAUGUAAUGACAGGUUUUAUGACAAUCAGUGAUUGAAGUUAGGAUGGGAAUAAAAAGGCACAGUUUUCACCCCACCACCACUGACAUCUGGGCCUGUAUUCAGAAAUCUUCUCAGAGUAGGUUGGCUGGAUCUAGGAUCAGGUUGUCCCCCCCGUCCAUGUAAUGUCCCGUGUGGCUCAGUUGGAACUUGCGACGCCGGCGGCGGCGGGGGGGGGGAGUGGAUAAGAACGUCUGCUAAAUGACAUAAAUGUAAUGUGUUUCAUUGUGAUCUUAAAAUAAAAAAAUAAAAUCAUAGAUCAGUCCCACAUACUCUGUAGUGACGCUGUAAGAACUUAGUUAAAUUAAAUGGAAAUUACCUUCAUUAUAAUUAUUACCAUUCUAAAAAAGGACCCUUACAGCUUUUCCCAUUCAUUUAUGAGAAUUCCAGGGAGACAUCCCAAAUGGCACCCUAUUGCCUAUAUAGUGCACUACUUUUUACCAGGUCCCUAUGGCCAAUGGCACCCUAUUCUCCAUGUAGUGCACUACUUUUAAGACCAGUAGAGUACAAUAUAGAGAAUAGGGUGCAAUCCAGGACAUCCCCCCCAAUACUUCCAAUAGCACAGCAUUAAAUACCAUUCAAAAGGGGCAAUGUAGUUUACAACUACAAAUAAAACUAAAAUCAGGUAAAUCCAAUGUAUAAUCAUAAAAUACAUUUUAUAUAAAAUGAGAACAUGCUUGCCGAUUACUGGACAGAUAUUGUCGCAUGAAACAACAUUCUCUCAUCUAAAACGUUAUAAUUCAGAGAGGGAGAUAGUGGGACCACCAUCUUGGAUUUUUUGGGAUGAAUUAGUCCUAUUGUGUAUUUACCCUCUUCGACCAGAUCUGAGUACAAGUCAACUUCAGACACUGUUUCUCCAGAAGUUGAUUUAAAACCCAAUACAUUUAACUCCACAUUAUAGACUGGACUAUUGGGGGAAAUAGGGAUAACCAAGUGAAUUUCUGCCAUACAGACAGAUACGCAAUAAAACAAUACAUUUCACAACAGGACUAACUGUACAGACAGACGGAUUUGACAGAUGUACAGACAGUGCCCAGAGACAGACAGACAUCGCAACACAGACAGGUUAUGGAUUUUCUUUGGCUGUUUACAUAGAUCCACGCACCGUAGAUCAGUUCAUUGUAGAAAUACAAUGUAGUACAUAGAAUACACACAGUCCAGGAACCUUGGAGUAAAAAACAGAUCCUAAGACAGUUUCCUCUCCAGAGAGUGACACCUUAUUCCCUAUUUAGCCUAUGAAACCUGGUGAAAAGUAGUGCACUAUAUAGGGAAUAGGGUGUCACUUGAGACACAACACAGGGUUAGGGGUAAACUGAUCCCAGAUCUGUGCUCUGCUAUGGGGCAGCUUUGAUCUGAAACAGAUACAGGCCCUGGGACAGAGAGGAGAAGUUAGGGGUAAGCUGAUCCCAGAUCUGUGCUCUGCUAUGGGGCAGCUUUGAUCUGAAACAGAUACAGGCCCUGGGACAGAGAGGAGAAGUUAGGGGUAAACUGAUCCCAGAUCUGUGCUCUGCUAUGGGGCAGCUUUGAUCUGAAACAGAUACAGGCCCUGGGUGUCUGAGGGGAGAAGUUGGGGAGAGUUGCAGUACAUUAAUGAUCGACAGACAGUUUUCAAAUUCCAAACCAAUCCCUAGUCCCCACUCCAAAACUAGGGUGUAGAGGGGAUUCAACCUAGAGUGUAGGGGGUUAGGGUUUCAACCUAGAGUGUAGGGGGUUAGGGUUUCAACCUAGAGUGUAGGGGGUUAGGGUUUCAACCUAGAGUGUAGGGGGUUAGGGUUUCAACCUAGAGUGUAGAGGGGAUUCAACCUAGAGUGUAGGGGGUUAGGAUUCAACCUAGAGUGUAGGGGGUUAGGGUUUCAACCUAGAGUGUAGGGGGGAUUCAACCUAGAGUGUAGGGGGUUAGGGUUUCAACCUAGAGUGUAGGGGGUUAGGGUUUCAACCUAGAGUGUAGGGGGUUAGGAUUCAACCUAGAGUGUAGGGGGUUAGGGUUUCAACCUAGGGUGUAGGGGGUUAGGAUUCAACCUAGGGUGUAGGGGGUUAGGGUUUCAACCUAGAGUGUAGGGGGUUAGGGUUUCAACCUAGAGUGUAGGGGGUUAGGGUUUCAACCUAGAGUGUAGGGGGUUAGGGUUUCAACCUAGAGUGUAGGGGGUUAGGAUUCAACCUAGGGUGUAGAGGGGAUUCAACCUAGGGUGUAGGGGGUUAGGGUUUCAACCUAGAGUGUAGGGGGUUAGGGUUUCAACCUAGAGUGUAGGGGGUUAGGAUUCAACCUAGAGUGUAGGGGGUUAGGGUUUCAACCUAGAGUGUAGGGGGUUAGGAUUCAACCUAGGGUGUAGGGGGGAUUCAACCUAGGGUGUAGGGGGUUAGGGUUUCAACCUAGAGUGUAGGGGGUUAGGGUUUCAACCUAGAGUGUAGGGGGUUAGGGAUUCAACCUAGAGUGUAGGGGGUUAGGAUUCAACCUAGGGUGUAGGGGGUUAGGAUUCAACCUAGGAGUGUAGGGGGUUAGGGUUUCAACCUAGAGUGUAGAGGGGAUUCAACCUAGAGUGUAGGGGGUUAGGAUUCAACCUAGAGUGUAGGGGGUUAGGAUUCAACCUAGAGUGUAGGGGGUUAGGAUUCAACCUAGAGUGUAGGGGGUUAGGGUUUCAACCUAGAGUGUAGGGGGUUAGGGUUUCAACCUAGAGUGUAGGGGGUUAGGGUUUCAACCUAGAGUGUAGGGUUCAACCUAGGGUGUAGGGAUUAGGGUUCAACCUAGGGUGUAGGGGUUAGGGUUUCAACCUAGGGUGUAAGGGGUUAGGGUUGGACAUAAGUAAGAGGGUAUGUCCCAAAGUGCACACUAUACCCUAUAUAGUACACUACUUCUGACCAGAGCUCUAUGAACCCUGGUGAAACGUAUCACACUAUAUAGAGAACACGGUGCCCUUUGGGACAAACAGCCAGAGGCAGUUGAACGGGAUAAUAGACAUAAAGCGUCUCCUGGAGAAGCAUGGACUGCCUGAAAACAGAUUUCAGCCCUUACAGGACUCAGCCAUCUAGCUUUAAAAUAUAUACCUUUACAUAUAAAAACACAAGGAGUCCCAAACCACACCCUAACCCCCCUCUCCCCCCACGUAGUGCACUAGCUGGGGAAUAGGGUGCCAUUAGCCAUAGGGCUCUGGUUAAAUGUAGUGCACUAGAAAGGGAAUAGGGUGCCAUUAGGGACUGUACCCCAUCCUGUGCACAUGUUAAAAACUACUAGUACCUGUACAUUACCCACCCAGAAAAAAAUACUCAAUGUCUACAGGUAAAAAGACAACUUUUCCUUUUAUGUCCGUAGGCAUAGCGUUGUAUCAAAAAUAUACAGCUGCAGUAAACCAGUUUUACAGAACAAUGUUUGUUUGAACAGAAUGCUUUGACAUCGCUAGGUGACAUCAGAGGAUGGAGCGUGAAGGUUCUUUAUGAUGUCAUUAUGAUGUCCACGUGUUGAGGAGAUGAAGGCUCCACUCCAUGAUGAAAAUCCUCACCUCAUCGGUUUACGUCCCAAACGGCAGCCUAUUCCCUAUAGUGACCAGGGACCAUAGGGCUUUUAUUUUGGAACAUACAAGCUUGUAAAAACACUGUCUUUCAGCUCCAAAUGAUUUUACAUUUCCGUAUUCUACAAAUAUUCCCAGGCAUAAUAGAGAGAUAUGUGAUUGUACACAAAUGUAAGCAAGGUUUGAAAUGAUUAUGUUUUAGUCAAAUAGUCUAUCUGUUUGGGCUUGUUGUAUUCAAUUUGCAGUCCACAAAUUCUAUGUAAUUAUAUUCAGGCCCCCUGACCAGCCACUCAAGAAAAUAAAAUAAAAAAUUAAAUCAGCCUAUGGCUGAAUCUAGUUGAUGAUCACUGGGGUCUAGGGUGCUAUUUGGGCCGCACCCAUCCCCUCUGCCCCCUCAGUGACUAGUCUAGGGACUGAAGGGAGUGAGAUUCCGGAAUGGAACUCAGCCGUCAUCCUGUUCCGAGCACCAUGACGUCUCCAUAGCAACUUAGCAGCAGCUGGUUCUGGAAGGAGAACAACUCCCCAGAGCAGGAGUGGAAGACUGUUUAGAAAUCAGCUUUUCACCCUGUUCAUCCCCCCAUCCUUCCUUUCCAAACGUGUUCCUCUACGCUUCAACCAGGCAGUGACAUUCUGUGUACCAUUCCAUCCUUCUGUCUCAUCCUUUCCCACCCUCCUUUACAUCCCCCCGCUCCUCCUCUUCCAAAAGCACUCUCUCCAACUCCUCUUCCUCCGUUCCGGUUCAGUCUUUUCUCUGCGUCAUUGUUCCUCCUCCACUUCCUACUGGCUCCAUUUCCUGUUUCCUGGUUCAGUCCACCUUCUCUACCUUACCGAUGAUCUUCUCCUCGUAGAUGGGCAAGACGGUGUCGUCCUCUUUGACUUCCUCAAACACCACGCCACAGUCAAACUCAUCACUCACCUUCUUAAAGUAGAACCUAGAACACACAGUGAAUCAACACACACACACACAGUGAAUCAACACACACACACACAGUGAAUCAACACACACACACACACACACACAGUGAAUCAACACACACACACACACACACACAGUGAAUCAACACACACACACACACACACACACACACACAGUGAAUCAACACACACACACACACAGUGAAUCAACACACACACACACACACACACACACACAGUGAAUCAACACACACACACACACACAGUGAAUCAACACACACACACACAGUGAAUCAACACACACACACACACACAGUGAAUCAACACACACACACACAGUGAAUCAACACGCACACACA